rnacentral:rRNA from 1 species
UACGUAGGGUGCAAGCGUUGUCCGGAAUUACUGGGCGUAAAGCGCGUGUAGGCUGUUCGGAAAGUCGGAUGUGAAAGCCCUGGGCUUAACCCAGGAAGUGCAUUCGAAACUCCCGAACUCGAGUCCUGGAGAGGAAGGCGGAAUUCUCGGUGUAGAGGUGAAAUUCGUAGAUAUGGGGAGGAACGCCGGUGGCGAAGGCGGUCACCUGGACGGAUACUGACGCUGAGACGCGAAAGCGUGGGGAGCAAACAGG